AACGGCUACCACAUCCAAGGAAGGCAGCAGGCGCGCAAAUUACCCAAUCCCGACACGGGGAGGUAGUGACAAUAAAUACUGAUGCAGAGCUCUUUUGGGUUUUGCAAUUGGAAUGAGUACAAUUUAAAUCCCUUAACGAGGAACAAUUGGAGGGCAAGUCUGGUGCCAGCAGCCGCGGUAAUUCCAGCUCCAAUAGCGUAUAUUAAAGGUGUUGCAGUUAAAAAGCUCGUAGUUGAAAUUGGGCUUGGCUGGUCGGUCCGCCUCACGGCGAGUCUGACCUCGGCCAAGCUGUUUCCUCUUGGGCCGCUCGAGCGCACUUGACUGGGCGUUCGGGAUGGACCAGGACUUUUACUUUGAAAAAAUUAGAGUGUUCAAAGCAGGCAUUUGCUCGGAUACAUUAGCAUGGAAUAAUAGAAUAGGACGUCGAUCUUAUUUUGUUGGUUUCUAAGACCGCCGUAAUGAUUAAUAGGGAUAGUUGGGGGCAUUAGUAUUCAAUUGUCAGAGGUGAAAUUCUUGGAUUUAUUGAAGACUAACUACUGCGAAAGCAUUUGCCAAGGAUGUUUUCAUUAAUCAAGAACGAAAGUUAGGGGAUCGAAGACGAUUAGAUACCGUCGUAGUCUUAACCAUAAACUAUGCCGACUAGGGAUCGGGCGCAGUUAAAUUGACUCGCUCGGCACCUUAUGAGAAAUCAAAGUUUUUGGGUUC
rnacentral:rRNA from 1 species